GCGGGUAUAGUUCAGUGGUAGAACCUCAGCCUUCCAAGCUGAUGGCGCGGGUUCGAUCCCCGCUACCCGCUCCA
rnacentral:tRNA from 1 species